GCAAAUUGAGGUAGUAGGUUGUAUAGUAGUACUUAAUUAAAAACGUACUAUACAACGUGCUAGCUUUCUUUGC
rnacentral:pre_miRNA from 12 species